rnacentral:pre_miRNA from 1 species
UCUUAAGGAUGAGCAGAGAAGUUGGUUUCUUGAGACGGAAUCAAAUCCUGGUGAAAAUUCUGUGAA